AUGACCUAAUUUGUUGUAGGAACCUUUCGUCCAAUACAUUCCCAUUACAUAUCGGUCUGCAUCCUCGGGGCCAGGAUGUUCAAUAUUUAACAUUAAUUUCAUAGGGGUACUUCCUCCAGGCUUUCUUAAAGUCAUUCUUUGAAGGAGGGAUCUACCCUGAUUGUCUAUCUUAGAUAAAGCACUUUUGGGUUUAUAACCCCAGGCAGGCCCAGUAUUCCAUCCCGCAGCCCCCCAGUAGUUACAGUCAUAACCCCAUUGUUCAUCUACUACACAAACGUAAGGGUCUUUUGCUUGUGGUAUAUCUUUAUAAAUGGCUUGAAUCUGUGACUUAGGGAAUGGGCACUCUACAAUAUCACAGUAAUCAAAAGUGAAUGUAGCCACAUGGGUACAUGAUGAAUUAUACCAGAAAGUGUACCCACUAGCAUCUUUGGUGAUGGCCACCUGCUGGGCUUUAAGGAGGCCAACUAAGGAGAUAAUGUACCAGAGGCACAUGGUUGCAUAGAGUUAGCUUCCUCUGGGGCAGGUGUCUUCUUGCAAUGGGAAGCGUGGAUCCAGUUAGGCCUUCCGGCC